rnacentral:rRNA from 1 species
AGAGUUUGAUCCUGGCUCAGAUUGAACGCUGGCGGCAUGCCUAACACAUGCAAGUCGAACGCGAAAGUGCCUUCGGGUGCGAGUAGAGUGGCGGACGGGUGAGUAACGCGUAGGAAUCUGCCCAGUAGUGGGGGACAACUCAAGGAAACUCGAGCUAAUACACCAUACGCCCUACGGGGGAAAGCGGGGGAUCUUCGGACCUCGCGCUAUUGGAUGAGCCUGCGUCGGAUUAGCUAGUUGGUGAGGUAACGGCUCACCAAGGCAGCGAUCCGUAGCUGGUCUGAUAGGAUGAUCAUCCACAUUGGGACUGAGACACGGCCCACACUCCUACGGGAGGCAGCACUGGGGAAUAUUGUACAAUGGGCGAAAGCCUGAUCCAACAAUGCCUCGUGUGUGAAGAGCGUCUGCCGGUUGUAAAGCACUUUCAGAACAGAAUAAAAGCAUGGGGAUAAUACCCCCGUGUCUUGACUUAACCUACAGAAGAAGCACCUGUCUAACUCCGUGCCAGCAUCCACGGUAAUACAGAGGGUGCAAGCAUUAAUCCCAAUUACAGGGCGUACAUCGUACAUAAGCUGUUAUUUCACUCGCAUGUGAAAGCCCCCGGCUUAACCUGAUAAUUGCAUUUCAUACUGGAUAACUAUACUCUGGUA